GAAAGGGGUUGGUGGUAAAUCAAAUUAAGGGGUGCGCUUUUGACGAAGGAGUGCCCACUUUGUUCGGGGUUGUUGUAUGCCGUAAUUAAAGGAAAACAGAGUGCGGUUUUGUGUGCGUUGGAUCGAUCGAGAAAAAGGAAAGUUCGAAGAGGCGCCGUGACCCGCCGGAACGUCCGGAACCCACACUGGGAUUCCCACCCUACCCCGGUCACCUCUGUCCGUGGGCCCAGUGUCUUUCGUCUUUCGUCCCCGAGCUCUUCUUCUCGGAAAGAUCGUCCCAAGCCAACUCCACUCUCCCAUCUGCCGCUACCGCUAGUGUCCAGCCUCGGUCGCAUCCGGAACAGCGCAAGUCGUCCCCCUGGCGCACGGUUCGCCCCGGAAGUCUUUCAACAUUCCGCUUUUCCAAUUAAAUGUUAUGCCGGCCGCGACCAUGUUUUCCAAGUUCAAAAGCAGCAGUACGAGCGCGCCGCCGCCCAACCCCUACGACAACAAUCCGAUCACGCAGUACUUUGAGAUUGGCAAGCAGAUCGCCUGUGCGGGCCCGGAACUAGUGUGGAAGAUCCACGAGGGCUACCGGAAGACGGACGGGAAGGAAUGUUCAAUAUUCGUGUUCGAGAAACGUACCGCAGAAAAGCUACACAAACCAAAGCGAAAAGACAUGGUGACGGAAAUUCUGCGGGCAUCGGUCAAACAGCUGGAACGAUUUCGGCACCCCAAGAUUCUGCAGAUAAUGCACACCGUCGAGGAAAGUUCGGAGACCCUUUCGUUCGCCACCGAGCCCGUCAUCGCCAGUUUAGCGAACGUCUUAGCAUAUCAGGAAAGCGCCGGGACCGUACCGGGACCCCCGAGCACCGGUGCCUCCCAGCAGUUACAGAACAGUUCCCCGGCGAACCGACCAGCCCACGCCAAGGAGUACAACUUCCUCGACAUUGAGCUCAAGUAUGGAAUUCUGCAGAUCACGGAAGCCCUCUCGUUCCUGCACUACUCCGGCCAAGUGAUACACCGGAACGUGUGUCCCUCGUCGAUUCUGAUCACCAAGAAGGGCACCUGGAAGCUGGCCGGAUUCGAGUUUACCGAACGGGUCAACGAGCAGGACUCUACGGAUCCAGUGCCCUGCCAGCCCUGGUCGACGCGAACGUCCAAGAUGGUGCAACCGAACCUGGACUACAUGGCUCCCGAGAAUCAAAUUAACGCCAACUGCAGCAUACUGAGCGAUAUGUUCUCCCUUGGAAUGGUGAUAUGUGCCAUCUUCAACCACGGGAGACCGUUGAUACAGUCCGGAAAUUCACCGCCUGCGUACAUCAAACAAACGGAAAUGCUCGACGAAGCCGUGCACAAUAUGCUGCCCCGGAUACCGAUCCCGCUGCAGGAGGCGGUCACUCGGUUGCUGAAAAAGUCCCCCGUAGCCCGGCCCACGGCCCAGCUGCUGACACUCAUCAAAUACUUCAGCGAUCCUGCGGUCCAAGCGCUCCAGUUUCUGGACGUCAUCAACAUGAAGGAUCCCACGCAGAAGACCCACUUCUAUCGGAGUACGCUGCGAGAGGUGCUGCCCUUUCUGCCACGGAAACUCUGGUGGCAACACAUCUGGCCCAAUCUCCAGCAGGAAAUGCGUGCUGAUGAAGUCCUGGCCGCCGUCCUGCAGCCCGCCCUCACCCUGGUCCAGGAAUCAUCGAACACCGAAUACGAAGCAAUCAUUUUACCAACGUUUAAGACUGUUUUUGUAGCUCCCAAAUCCAUCCAGGCGACCGUUGCGUUACUGGAGAACCUGCACAUAAUCCUGGAGAAAACACCCCGGGACGACAUCAGGACGGAAGUGCUUCCGUUGCUGUUCAACGCGCUCGAAAGUACAACGAUACAGGUGCAGAGUGCCGCCCUCGUGGCCGUCACGAACGUGUACGACUACCUGGACGACAUCACGAUCAAGAAGCUGGUGCUGCCGAAGCUCAAGGCGGUGUUCGAGAAGAACCAGAAUGAUCUCAAGAUCAUGGGCAACGUGCUGCAGUGCGUCGAGCGGACGCUGGACAAGCUAGACAAGUCGCAGAUUAUAGACGAAGUACUUCCUUUGCUGCUGGAAGUUAGGUUAACCGAUCCGGAUAUUAUUGUACGAGUUGUCAAUAUCUACCGGAUUAUGUUGUGUGAUAAAAAGUACGGUCUCACCGUGAACACCAUGGCCACGAAGGUGAUGCCCACCCUGCUGCCCCAGACUGUGAAUCCUUCGCUAAAUCUCGAACAAUUUAUGAUCCUGUUAGAGGUGCUCCAAGAGAUGCUGGACCAGAUCGACCGCCAGCAGCGGAACAAGCUGAAGCUGGACAACCUGUCGCUUCCGUCGCCGGACCGGCAUCGACCCCUACGUCACCAGUUCUCGUCGGACAACAUGAACGUGCAGCAGUUCAACAUCCCGAACUUGCGCAUCGACCAGCGUAAGACGUCCAGCGCCGAGGACAUGGCCCGGAAGAACUCGACAGGUACCCGAAGAGGUUCGGGUGCUCUAGGUAGCUGGUGGUUCGGCGGAUCGCCCUCGUCCCCCGACAGCAACUUCCUGCGGGUCGUCAACGCCUUCCCCAACCGGCGGCUGUCGGACAACACGCUCAUGACGCCCAAGAUCCGGAUCGCCCCGUCCUGCGCCUCGUCACCCGGUGGUACUCCUGGCGGUGGUCUGCCAAUAAGACGCCACUCGAGCAUUGGUCCCCAGGAGCGACGAAGUUCCAACAUCAAUCUCUCACCACCGACUGGUUUCAGCGCUCGGGGCGGCUCCGGGUCGAGCCUUUCAGUGCCUGCCACUUCCGCUUCUUACGUACUUUCACGGAGCAUGAUCGGCGGCUCGAUGCCAAAUACGUCGAGUAGCGUGCCGUUCCUGCUCUCGUCCAGCAUGCAGUCGAUCCGAAGCCGCCGAACCUCGACCGUGCUGUCCUCGGGUCCGCUCGGCUCCGGAUCCGGACUGCUCCAGCAGCUCGGUUCCGGCAUGAUUCUGAACACCAAAAACUUCAAAUCAGUACUGGAAAAAGUAACUAAAAACCGACCACGAUCCUCCUCCCUGUUUAGCGUGUACAAUGAUCGUUAGCACAGUAGCUUUCCGAGCGCUCCUCCUCCUAGCGGAGCACGCUCGAGAAAUUCCCUCUUCUAAGGAAGACCCCAAACCGAACUUCACACCCACAAACACAUACACCACUCACUCUCACUCACUCUGUAGAGACCGUAACAUGUCCUCUAUCAGGAGUCCUUUUUACGAGACCGCUCAUGAUACACCGUAAACCAUGAUUUGACCAAACCAAGCAUCAAGUAUAGCGAUCCCAAAGACCUACUACCAAAGUAUCAAGUAUUGGAAUCUUGUAGAGUGUAUCGUCCUCCGUACGAACGUCCAGCCUAGAGCCUAGAGACGAGCGUCAGUUAUACACACUGAUGACCCGAGAUAGAUUUGGUGGCGCCGGUGGGCAACCGGCCGGAUCAACAGGACCACCAUCAUCCACGACGGCGGCAGCGCCACCAACAUCUCAAACAAACAACAACUGCAACG
rnacentral:misc_RNA from 1 species